UCGGAUAGGUAGGAAUACCCG
rnacentral:rRNA from 1 species